CCAUAUCAGUAUCAUUUCAUAUUCUCAACAUGCUUAGAUAGAGAAGAUUAAGCCUAUAACAUCAAGUAGAUGAUUUAAUUAAGCUACAACAUGUAUUAUAAUCAACUGAAAUAUGCAAAGUCAUUAGAUGACCCUCACUCUCUUCCCUCAAUUUCAGCAAUCACCUCUGUUUUGAGAUAUUUCUAACUUUGUCAACAUUCUUCAUAAAGGACCCUAGUUGAUUGAAUGGCAACAAAGUAUCUUGGAAAAAAGAAACUAAAUAUGAAAUAUCAACAUUCUUUAUAAAAACAUAGACAUAUACACAUGAUAAAGGACACAAUGUUAUCACUCUUCAAAACAUUAUCCACUCACAUGCGAAAAAAACUUCUAACAAAUCAAAACAAGUUCCAAACUUCAUUGCUUAAGAGGACCUCUUCAAUAUGAGAACACAUUCCCAUCCUCUUUUCUUCUUCAAUCUGAAUCAUGAGAAAGAUACAUCAGCAUGUUUUUGUCAUCUUCAUCAUCAACUCAAAACUCUGAAAGCUUGAAACCCGAUGAUCGGCCAACAAAACACACAUAACACCGGCUGUGAAAUAACCAAAAAUGAAUAAAAAUCGGAUAAGAUGCAUGUAGCAAAGAAUAGUUAGUGUAAUUACAAGUUGUAUCUUAUCAUAUAAAAGCUAAGUUUGGAAAGUUGUGACCAAUAGCAAAUUCAAGGGAUGAAAGGCAGUACCUUAUCCAAAUCCACAUCUUUAGGACUUAGCACUGCAGACAACUUGAAGGAUGUUGUUUCCAUAUUCUUCUUGCUCCUCUCGUAUCAAUUCAACCGACUCCAUUAGAGACUCUUUCACUUUUCCAGUAACCUCAAUGAGUUCAAGAGUUGAAAUGUCUCCAAUAUCUUUGGAAUCCCAUUGAGAUCCCAACAAGAACGAAGCAGUAGCCGUUUGAGUUUGGGGAAAUGGCUACUUUCAGUUAUCCAAUUCUCCAACCUUGAACCUUCAAUUAGAAGAACUUCCAACGCUGGGAAUGCUUCUUCGCUUGUUUCCCAUGUAUCGC
rnacentral:lncRNA from 1 species